UGACUUCUGUUAAUCUUCAUUGUUGUUAUUAAAAAAAAGUUUUAUACCAAUUUCUAUAGAAAUUAAUAGACAUUCUAUAGAAAUUCUAUAGGCCAUAUGUUUUAAAAGUUUAUAGAAAUUCUAUUGAAGUAUUUUUCCGGAAUUUUGUCACUUCGCCACUGUAGUGGAUCAUUGUGUCUAUUUAUUUCUGGUUCUACCAGAUAUUGGCUUAUCUGAGUGUCAAUGCCUUUUAGUAAUUGUUGAUCAUGUGCUGUGUCACCAGCGGACGUAGACUGAAUAAUUUUAUCAAUUAAUUGCAAGAGUAAUGAUGAUGUAGAAAACUUAUCUAGCAUAUCUUAUUUUGCUGGAUUUUCUUCAGUUUUGUCAAUCCUCUGCUCAGCAUGCUCAGAUUGACUUUAAUCUUGCUUUUUCAGUUGUCAGUGUUGUCAGUGUACCGAUUUGAUAAAAAAACUUGUAUACAGAUGCAAUAUAAUAAAAAUGUUACUAAUCCUUGUCGGUUGGAUUAGAAAGUGACUGAGGAAAUUAUCAACAUAAUUCCACCACUUAAUUAUUAUAUUUAUGAACACCAUGUUAGUAAAAUAAUUGAUCUCCUUACUGAUAAAAAUCUGAACGAACUUAUUGGAAAGAAAACGGUUAUUAGGCAUGGCUAUAAUGGUGGUGGUUUUAAUGGACCUAACUGUACCAAAGUUUUGAAAUGAUUGGACGAAAUGAAACUUCAUUCUUUAAUUGAAUAUCUGGAAUGUAUUGAAAUCCUGAGGAGGUUUAAAGAAGUAGCUGAAUGCUGUUUUGGGAUGAAACUCGAUAUAAUUACAAAAAAAAAAAAGACAAGUUUAUGGAGUUCAUACUUCACUUAAACGUAUAUGUCCAUGAUGUAUUCGCAGUGAAGAUUUCAGUUCGAUGGAAGUUUUACAUAAUCAAGUUCCAUCUCAAGGAGUAUCUCGAUAAGCAGAAUAACCCCCUCGGUAUUACCUCAGAACAAAACAUCAGAAGCAUUCAUAAUAACUUACACAAGACACUCAAAAGGUUCGUUGUAUCUGAGAAAAACGUCCAUGACUGUGCAAAACUAAGAGCUAUGGUUGUUGAAUACAAAAAUAUUUUAAGAAGAUUUUUCAAAAAUAUAUAUAGGUUGAAAAAUACCUAAUCUUUUUUGUAAAAUAUAAUAUGUAAAAUAUUGUUUGUGGCAUUUCAUUUGUCUGAAUUUGUUA